rnacentral:rRNA from 1 species
UCAGGAUGAACGCUAGCGACAGGCUAACACAUGCAAGUCGAGGGGCAGCAUAAAAGUAGCAAUACUUGGUGGCGACCGGCGCACGGGUGAGUAACGCGUAUGCAACCUACCUAUCAGAGGGGAAUAACCCGGCGAAAGUCGGACUAAUACCGCAUAAAACAGGGGCACCGCAUGGUGAUAUUUGUUAAAGAAAUUCGCUGAUAGAUGGGCAUGCGUUCCAUUAGGUAGUUGGUGAGGUAACGGCUCACCAAGCCGACGAUGGAUAGGGGAACUGAGAGGUUGGUCCCCCACACUGGUACUGAGACACGGACCAGACUCCUACGGGAGGCAGCAGUGAGGAAUAUUGGUCAAUGGGCGAGAGCCUGAACCAGCCAAGUCGCGUGAAAGGAAGAAGGAUCUAUGGUUCGUAAACUUCUUUUGCAGGGGAAUAAAGUGCAGGACGUGUCCUGUUUUGUAUGUACCCUGAGAAUAAGGAUCGGCUAACUCCGUGCCAGCCGCUGC